GACGAACGCUGGCGGCGUGCUUAACACAUGCAAGUCGAACGGAAAGGCCCUGCUUUUGUGGGGUGCUCGAGUGGCGAACGGGUGAGUAACACGUGAGUAACCUGCCCUUGACUUUGGGAUAACUUCAGGAAACUGGGGCUAAUACCUGAUAGGAGCUCCUGCUGCAUGGUGGGGGUUGGAAAGUUUCGGCGGUUGGGCAUGGACUCGCGGCUUAUCAGCUUGUUGGUGGGGUAGUGGCUUACCAAGGCUUUGACGGGUAGCCGGCCUGAGAGGGUGAACGGGCACAUUGGGACUGAGAUACGGCCCAGACUCCUACGGGAGGCAGCAGGGGGGAAUAUUGCACAAUGGGCGGAAGCCUGAGGCAGCAACGCCGCGUGCGGGAUGAAGGCCUUCGGGUGGUAAACCGCUGUCGCCUGUGACGAAGCGUGAGUGACGGUAAUGGGUAAAGAAGCACCGGCUAACUACGUG
rnacentral:rRNA from 1 species